rnacentral:rRNA from 1 species
UACGUAGGGUGCGAGCGUUAAUCGGAAUUACUGGGCGUAAAGCGUGCGCAGGCGGUCUUGCAAGACAGAUGUGAAAUCCCCGGGCUCAACCUGGGAACUGCAUUUGUGACUGCAAGGCUGGAGUGCGGCAGAGGGGGAUGGAAUUCCGCGUGUAGCAGUGAAAUGCGUAGAUAUGCGGAGGAACACCGAUGGCGAAGGCAAUCUCCUGGGCCUGCACUGACGCUCAUGCACGAAAGCGUGGGGAGCAAACAGG